rnacentral:rRNA from 1 species
UAGGGAAUCUUCGGCAAUGGACGGAAGUCUGACCGAGCAACGCCGCGUGAGUGAAGAAGGUUUUCGGAUCGUAAAGCUCUGUUGUUAGAGAAGAACGUUGGCAGGAGUGGAAAAUCUACCAAGUGACGGUAACUAACCAGAAAGGGACGGCUAACUACGUGCCAGCAGCCGCGGUAAUACGUAGGUCCCGAGCGUUGUCCGGAUUUAUUGGGCGUAAAGCGAGCGCAGGCGGUCUUUUAAGACAGAGGUGAAGUCCCCGGGCUCAACCUGGGAACGGCCUUUGUGACUGCAAGGCUGGAGUGCGGCAGAGGGGGAUGGAAUUCCGCGUGUAGCAGUGAAAUGCGUAGAUAUGCGGAGGAACACCGAUGGCGAAGGCAAUCCCCUGGGCCUGAACUGACGCUCAUGCACGAAAGCGUGGGGAGCAAACAGG